rnacentral:tRNA from 2 species
GGAGGGGUGGCCGAGUGGUUAAUGGCACCAGACUGUAAAUCUGGCCUCUUACGAGUACACAGGUUCAAAUCCUGUCCCCUCCACCA